UGGCUCAGUUCGUAGAGCAUGGUGUUUGCAACGCCAGCAUGGUGUGUGCAACGCCAGGGUUGUGGGUUCGAUUCCCAC
rfam:Salmo salar isolate Sally breed double haploid chromosome ssa09, whole genome shotgun sequence.